AAUGAACGUUGGCGGCGUGGAUUAGGCAUGCAAGUCGUACGCACAGCUUCGGCUGUGAGUGGCGCAAGGGUGAGUAAUGCGAAGGUAACCAACCCUGGUGUUGGGCAUAACCGCGGGAAACUGCGGGUAAUUCCCAGCGACGUCGCGAGAUGGCAUCAUCUUGCGACCAAAGGUGUGAUUCCGCUCUAGGACGGGCCUUCGUGGUAUUAGGUAGUUGGUGAGGUAACGGCUCACCAAGCCGACGAUGCCUACCGGGUGUGAGAGCAUGACCCGGCACACUGGAACUGAGACACUGUCCAGACACCUACGGGUGGCUGCAGUCGAGAAUCUUCGGCAAUGGGCGAAAGCCUGACCGAGCGACGCCGCGUGAGGGAAGAAGGCCUUCGGUGUAACCUCUUUCGUAGAGGAGGAAGGGGCCGUGCAGAGCGGUCUUUGACCUAUUCUAGGAAGAAGCUUGGGCUAAGUUCGUG
rnacentral:rRNA from 1 species